UCGGUGUGUGUUUGUCGUAGUGACGGAGCUCGCGGAGUAGAGCACGUGUGUUCAUGAGAGACCAAUUACCCGCACCUAAAGACCACCACGACAUGGAUGGGAAAGUUCUGAGAGGCACUUUUUUGUUAGAAUGAAUAUGAUACUACAUCAAGCCAGUUGUGAAAAUGGAAGUUUACACGGAAAGGCGGGUGGCGUGCAGAGCCAUAGAUUGCUCAAAAGCCUUCACCUGAGGCGGGAAGGUGUCUUACUGCUCCGACGAAGACCAAGCCGCCCUUGGCUUGUGGGUCUCGGGACGCGCCACGCAGCCAACAGGUUGGUGCUCCUUGCGCUGUAAGGUGGCCCUAAUUACUUCGUUAUUUUUUGUGACGCUACUGAUAAGAAAGAGAGGAGAAUAUUUCUUGCCAAUUACGUCGACCUUGCCCUUGGUGAGUGCCGGGCGAGCUGCUUCUCACCCUGAUCAAGGCACUGCACUGCACCACGCAAGCAAUCGUGCAUCCGUGACCUCCGCGGCGCCCGUAACAAGAUCACGUCAGAUCAGCAAGGGAGGCAUUACUCUCGUUCUCCUUAAUACACAAUUGGAGGGGAAAUGUCUGUCAAUUAUAUUGUAACUGGCGGUUGGUGGAACAAUGUAUCGCUAAAACCUUGUGCCCUCCAUUUACGUUGUGUGGGAGGUGUUAGGAGUAUGCCAUGAUAAUGAUGAUGAAAAUUAUGAUGAUGAUGAUGAGGAGGAGGAGAAAGAAAAAUGAAAAGAAAAAAAAAAGGAAAACUAAGAACACCAUUCUGCUCCCAAACAGAAACAGUUGAAACCCAGAAAAGAUCGUUAAUUCAGUUUUUGAGGUGUCGUGAUACAGAAAUAGGAAGAGAAUUCCAGAGUUUAAUAGUAAAAAGAGUGAAAGAAUAAAGAUACUUCUUUAAUCUUGAAUCUGAAAGGUGAAUCAGAGAGUCUUGUGCAGCGAGGGCAAGGGACACAGAAUGCAUGCAGUUAAUAAAUUUAGUGGAGCAGUAACCAUAGAAAAAUUGGUAGAAGAACGUAAAAGAAACAGUACUGUGGCGGUGAGUUAGAGGGAAAAUAUCGAUGAAGCGAAAAGCAGUACUCCAUACAUGGACGGAUAAGGACCCACGAACACAGUAAGCGACUGAGAGGUGGAUCACAGGAACACAGAGAGGAAGAGAGAUGGAUGUUUGACACGGAAGCAAUAGUUAUUCCAAGGAAAAUCAAAAUAGUACCAGACGCACCUCCCCUUUGGUGGAUCCAGAGGCGGUAUUAGAGCGACAGAAUACAAAAUUAAGAUUGUGAAUGUUUGAAGCAUUUCCAAGGCGAUCAGGAAUGACGGUAAAAUGCUGCAGUAAUUCAUCUAGGUUAUGUAAUAUAGCAAAGUCGAAGGCUUGUUGGUCAGUGAAAGAAGUUGAUAAGCCAAAUCUGGUUGUAAAUACUGAGAUCUCCAAUAAUAGGGAUUUCAGCGAGAGACAAAUGGAUGAGAAUUGGCUUUGUUUUUUAAGUCAAAUAAUGAAAAAAUUAUACAUAGACGGAGGAGUCUGGUGAUAAAUACACAGCACAGAUGAACUUAGUGAGUAGAAAAUUAUGAAGACCAAGGAGCGUGGGGAUGAAAGCAAGUUAUAUUGUUACGUGCAUAGAUGCAACAGCAGGUCUUACUUGAAAUUGAGGAUAGAGAAAGUAGGAGAAAACAGGAGAGGGUCUGCUGUCAGUGGCCUUAGACAUCUAGAUUUCAGUGAGGAAUUGAAGAUGAGGUUUGGGGAGGCGAGGUGAUGUUCCACAGACUGGAAGUUAGAUCUACAUAUGUAAGUCUGCGAAUGUUGCAGAAGUCAAUAUGGAAAUGGUCAGAGGAGGCAUCAUGACACAUCUGUGUUGUAUCCUGGCGGGUGAACAUUUGUGUUUGCCUCCCUAGAUGGGGACUUGAAGGCUGAUUUUCAUAUUUUUGCCAGGAAUAUAAUCAUUGUUGUGAGUGUGUGCAUAUUUGUUAUGUAUGUUGUAUAGUGUUAAUAGAAAGAGAGGUUGUCUUUAGCGUGCAGGAUGCAAUUGUACUCUGAGUUAGUGAGACACGAAAAGAAAAGGUGAGGGAGGAUCAGCAGCAGGUUUGCAGCUCCCAUCACGCCCCUGUACUUAGCUAAAUGUGAGUGACAGCUUUAUCGGCAGGUGUCUACUACAUUCAUCAAGUAGUAGUAGUAGUAGUAGUAGUAGUAGUAGUAGCAGUAGUAGUAGUAGUUCUUGUUGUUGUAAUUGUCGAUGUCAUAGUAGUAGUAGUAAUGAUGAUGGUGGAAGCCGUAGUGUUGCUUGUGGACUUGUAACAAAAAUAAAAUGUCCAGGAUAUUUAGAGCCAGGCCGCCGCUACUCUGGUUACAUCACGAAGCACCAGCACGACGGGAGUCUGGCAGUCCAUCUGAUGGCGGCAGGAGACACCGGCUCUCCCUUCCAUUCUGACGCUCCAAACUCGUGUUACUUAUUGUGUGUCUCAAAAAACUUGGUGCGAUCAUUAUUUUUUUCUUUAUCUUUGAAUUUAUUUUCAUUUAUUUUUUUCCUUAACUAUUUCCAUUAAUUUACGUAUCUUUUUUGUAUUAUAUUUUUUGCGUUUUAUGUAUUAAGGAAUAUAUGUGGCAUGAUAUUUACGAAUUUAUGUAUCUGAUAAAAUUGUGAUGUCCUUAAAAUGUGUACGAUUUUUUGCCCGGUAAAUGGAGCGGAAUAUGGCCGUGAAAUACAGUUAUGGUGCAGGCAAAAUCUACAUGGGAAUAAUGUACGCAUUAUAUUGAAUACUGAAAUGUGUUAUUUUGCUAAGAACGGCUUCUCUUGUUUGUGUGUAGCGGGCAUUAAUGGUUGGUGCUUGCAGUUCUUGUCAGCUAACACGAAACCAUUGACCAUAAAGCUGCAUCUUAACGUGUCAGUUCACGCCACGUUUGGUAAUCUUCCUCCUGUCUGGAGC